rnacentral:tRNA from 1 species
GGACUUGUAGCUCAAUGCUUAGAGCAACUAGCAGUUACAACAACUGUUAUGUAUUUUGUGGGUUGGAAUCCCAUCAAGUCCC